rnacentral:rRNA from 1 species
AAUGAACGUUGGCGGCGUGGAUUAGGCAUGCAAGUCGCGCGAUAAAUUGCCUUCGGGCGAUGGAAAGCGGCGAAAGGGAGAGUAACACGCGGGUACCUACCCUCAGGACCGGGAUAGCUGCGGGAAACUGCAAUUAAUACCGGAUGAUGUCUCCGGACCAAAGGUGUGAUUCCGCCGGAGGAGGGGCCCACGUCCUAUCAGCUAGUUGGCGAGGUAAUAGCUCACCAAGGCUACGACGGGUACGGGGUGUGAGAGCAUGCCCCCGCUCACUGGGACUGAGACACUGCCCAGACACCUACGGGUGGCUGCAGUCGAGAAUCUUCCGCAAUGGGCGAAAGCCUGACGGAGCGACGCCGCGUGCGGGAUGAAGGCCUUCGGGUUGUAAACCGCUGUCAGUGGGGAGGAAAUGCACGGGGGUUCUCCCUCGUGUUUGACCGAUCCGCAGAGGAAGCACAGGCUAAGUUCGUGCCAGCAGCCGCAGUAACAC